rnacentral:rRNA from 1 species
UACGAAGGGGGCUAGCGUUGCUCGGAAUCACUGGGCGUAAAGGGUGCGUAGGCGGGUCUUUAAGUCAGGGGUGAAAUCCUGGAGCUCAACUCCAGAACUGCCUUUGAUACUGAGGAUCUUGAGUCCGGGAGAGGUGAGUGGAACUGCGAGUGUAGAGGUGAAAUUCGUAGAUAUUCGCAAGAACACCAGUGGCGAAGGCGGCUCACUGGCCGGUACUGACGCUGAGGCACGAAAGCGUGGAGCAAACAGGG